UAGUCCACGCCCUAAACGAUGCUUACUCGACAUUGGCGAUACACUGUCAGUGUCUAAGGGAAACCACUAAGUAAGCCACCUGGGGAGUACGUCGGCAACGAUGAAACUCAAAGGAAUUGACGGGUUCCCGCACAAGCAGCGGAGCGUGUGGUUUAAUUCGAGGCUACGCGAAGAACCUUACCAGGGUUUGACAUAUACGUGGUAGAGAUUGGAAACAUGAACGACCCUUCGGGGAGCGUAUACAGGUGCUGCAUGGCUGUCGUCAGCUCGUGCCGUGAGGUGUUCGGUUAAGUCCGCGAACGAGCGCAACCCACAUCGCUAGUUACAAGUGUCUAGUGAGACUGCCCGUGAUAAGCGGGAGGAAGGGUGUGGGAUGAUGUCAAGUCAGCAUGGCCUUUAUAUCCUGGGGCUACACACACGCUACAAUGGACGGGUACAAUGGGC
rnacentral:rRNA from 1 species